GAAGAAACACAUUAUCCAGAAUGCUUGCCAGCAGCUUUCUGGUUUAGAAUCUACCAGGCAGAGGCCAAAAGCUCUGAAAGGUCAAAGACAAGAAGAAACGGUUAUUCUCUGUCCAGGGAGUGAAUCCUUGUGGGUUUCAACAGAUUGUGACUCGUUUGUAACCAAAAACCGUGGGAAUUAUUCUCUUGCUGCUUUGGUGAUCAAAGAACAUGGAGGGAAGAUUUCCUGGAUGCCGGAACAAUACUAGGCUUCUCACCGCAGCCCAUGAAGCUAAGACAGGGUGAGCUCUGUGUUUGGCCCCCUCAGGUUCCAGCCCUUGGCUCGUAUCUUGAUGGAUCAGAAGACUAAAAGUCAUCAGGGUUAAAGCAGGAGUUAAGAUUGACAUAACUUUGAGAAACUAGGAAUCUGCAGUGGUUUAGUAUACCGGUGCCCUGAAGUUCUGAACAAAUCUUUCUCAAGGGUGAAGUUACGUGGAUGAAUGGUAACAAAUCCAUACAGGGAAGCAAGUGAUUAAGGCCAGUGUUUGAGGUAAUGUAUUGGAUUGUGAAUCUCUGGGAUAUGUGCUUAUAGUGAUAUCACUUUUAAAGUUUUAUUAUUUUCCACGUUGCUCAAUAUGCUUGGCAUCUGCUUUCAUUUAUAUUCAUUCCUUCACAUUUGCAGACACAUUUGUUAAAGUUCUGAAAUUCCUCAUAUGAGUUUCUGCUUUAGUCAGAAUUUCAACUCUGUAACAACAACAAAGUCUAUAUUUCUUAAGGCAAAAUGGAUUUAAUUCAGCUUAUGAUUUUAGCCCAUAGUCCUUGGCUCUAUAGUGAAGAAAGUCAUCCUG
rnacentral:lncRNA from 1 species